rnacentral:rRNA from 1 species
GAUGAACGCUGGCGGUAUGCCUAACACAUGCAAGUCGUACGAGAGUUUUCGGACUCUAGUGGCGGACGGGUGAGUAACACGUGAGAAUUUGCCUUUAGGAGGGGGAUAACAAUUGGAAACGAAUGCUAAUACCCCAUAUGCUUUCGAGUGAAACGGAUUUAUCCGCCUAAAGAGAAGCUCGCGGCUGAUUAGCUUGUUGGUAAGGUAAGAGCUUACCAAGGCGACGAUCAGUAUCUGGUUUGAGAGGACGAUCAGACACACUGGAACUGAGACACGGUCCAGACUCCUACGGGAGGCAGCAGUGGGGAAUUUUCCGCAAUGGGCGAAAGCCUGACGGAGCAAUACCGCGUGAGGGAUGACUGCCUAUGGGUUGUAAACCUCUUUUUUCAGGGAGGAAUAAAUGACGUUAC